CCUACGGGAGGCAGCAGUGGGGAAUAUUGGACAAUGGGCGAAAGCCUGAUCCAGCCAUGCCGCGUGUGUGAAGAAGGUCUUCGGAUUGUAAAGCACUUUAAGUUGGGAGGAAGGGCAGUAAGUUAAUACCUUGCUGUUUUGACGUUACCAACAGAAUAAGCACCGGCUAACUUCGUGCCAGCAGCCCGCGGUAAU
rnacentral:rRNA from 1 species